UAGGGAAUCUUCCGCAAUGGACGCAAGUCUGACGGAGCAACGCCGCGUGAGUGAAGAAGGAUUUCGGUUCGUAAAACUCUGUUGUUAGAGAAGAACAGCGCAUAGAGUAACUGUUAUGCGUGUGACGGUAUCUAACCAGAAAGCCACGGCUAACUACGUGCCAGCAGCCGCGGUAAUACGUAGGUGGCAAGCGUUGUCCGGAUUUAUUGGGCGUAAAGCGAGCGCAGUCGGUCAAUUAAGUCUGAUGUGAAAGCCCCCGGCUCAACCGGGGAGGGUCAUUGGAAACUGGUUGACAUGAGUGCAGAAGAGGGGAGUGUAAUUCCAUGUGUAGCGGUUAAAUGCGUAGAUAUAUGGAGGACCACCGGUGGCGAAUGCAGCUCUCUGGUCUGUAACUGACGCUGAGGCUCGAAGGCGUGGGGAGCGAACAGG
rnacentral:rRNA from 1 species